UGGUUCUGGCAUCGAUGAAGAACGCAGCGAAAUGCGAUAAGUAAUGCGAAUUGCAGAAUCCGUGAGUCAUCGAAUCUUUGAACGCACAUUGCGCCCCUUGGUAUUCCGGGGGGCAUGCCUGUUCGAGCGUCAUUAUCACCCCUCAAGCCCGGCUUGCUGUUGGAAGCGGCGCUCACCCGCCCUUCCCAAAGAUAAUGACGGCGUCUGUGAGGACUCCUGUACACUGAGCUUUCGGGCACGUACUAGGCUAGAAGUCCAGACCCGGUCGACGUCCGACCCCGCGAGGGGACGGACAAACCACUUUUUACCAAGGUUGACCUCGGAUCAGGUAGGGAUACCCGCUGA
rnacentral:misc_RNA from 1 species